rnacentral:lncRNA from 1 species
GGAAAUAAUAGCUUUCCAUUUAAGCUUGGUCCUGCUGAGAAGUUUCUGAAAGCAGUGCUUGAUAUUCCCUUUGCAUUUAAGAGGGUUGAUGCAAUGCUUUAUAUUGCUAAUUUUGAUUCAGAAGUUGAGUUCUAAUCUGAAGCUUGUUGGGUACCACUUCCAACUAAGCAUACCCACCAUAUGAUUCUGUUGAAUCAUGGUUGAAUCACAUUUCUUGCUAACAUUAAUAUGAAGUUUGUCAUCUAUAAUGGAUAGUGAUUGAAAGGGAUCUGGCUAAAUGCAUAAAAAGCAAACAAGUCAAAAUUUUUAACUUUAAGAGGGCAUUAGAUUAGAACUCAGUAAAUUAAGUUUGUCAUCUAUAGUUACCACAAUGCUGCCUCAUUUCCUUACUCUUUUUUUGCAGUUGAUCCAUAUGCCAAAUUCUAUCAUUAGAGAAGUUUGGUGCUACCCAUCUAAUCCAUAAUAUUGAUCUCUAUGCAAAAUAUGAUGCUUAUGGAUAUAUUCAACUGAGUUUCAUUUGUUUUAGUUAUAACUGGCUUCCUCUAAACUGCUUAGUUCUCUUUUACACUAAUUGCUACUUCAUUUUCAAGUGUGGAUUUUUUCAUUUUCUUAUUAUCAAAAUUACAUCCAAAGCUGCAAGUAGAUUAAGCAUGAUCUUCCUGCACAUUUUCUUAUUAUCAAUAUUAUGGUAUUAUAGUUAUCAAAUUAUGGUACUGAUAUUUGGCUAGCUUUCCACGUUUAGACGGGCUAGAAUUGGAAAUAAUAGCUUUCCACAUUUUCUUAUUAUCAAUAUUAUGGUACUAAUAUUAAUCUGCCAUAUAUUGAUAAUCAUAUGUAAAGCAACCAAAAUGAAGAACCCAAACAACUUAUAACACAAAGCUGCACAUAAACACAACAUAAAAGGUGCAUCCAUGAUCCAUUAAAAUACCUUCUCAAUCUCACAGAGGUUUAAGCAUUAUUGGUUGUCAGAAAAUAAAAAUAAAAAUGAAAAUCACAUGCAUCAUAAAAGAGUUCAAUCACCAACCACUAAAGUUGCUAAACCCCUACAGAAAAAGCUUAAAAUUUAUACAUUGAACCUAAUUUUACAACACCACACAAGAAUUAAAAAAAAAAACAGAAACUUUACAUUUAAAAUGAGGAGGACAGACAUACCUCAAAUUAAUAAGCCAACCGAAGAGAUCACUAAAAGAGGACAGUCGGCAGUCAGCGGUGAAACUCAACAAAUCAAUAGGGAGAGAGGGAAAGAGAUAGAUAGGGAGCGAUUCGUGACUUUGUUCAGCAGAUCGACGGGAAAGAGGACACUGAAAGAGGACAAACAGUCGAUGGUCGGCGCCAACACUCAGCAAAUCGACGGGAAGGAGGUUUAUGGUCGACGGUCGAUGAUCGACGAGAAAGAGAUUGACGAUCGACGUGAAAGAGAAAGAGAUUAAUGGGAUUUGAUGAUUGAUUUGUUAGGGAUUCGACUAUGAGAGUGUGGAGACUGGAGAGGCCAGGGGGAGAAAUUGGGAGAAUAGGGGUUCUGGGGGGAGAGAAUCGGGAGAU